GAUGAACGCUGGCGGCGUGCCUAAUACAUGCAAGUCGAGCGAUCGGACGAGAAGCUUGCUUCUCUGAUGUUAGCGGCGGACGGGUGAGUAACACGUGGAUAACCUACCUAUAAGACUGGGAUAACUUCGGGAAACCGGAGCUAAUACCGGAUAAUAUUUUGAACCGCAUGGUUCAAAAGUGAAAGACGGUCUUGCUGUCACUUAUAGAUGGAUCCGCGCUGCAUUAGCUAGUUGGUAAGGUAACGGCUUACCAAGGCAACGAUGCAUAGCCGACCUGAGAGGGUGAUCGGCCACACUGGAACUGAGACACGGUCCAGACUCCUACGGGAGGCAGCAGUAGGGAAUCUUCCGCAAUGGGCGAAAGCCUGACGGAGCAACGCCGCGUGAGUGAUGAAGGUCUUCGGAUCGUAAAACUCUGUUAUUAGGGAAGAACAUAUGUGUAAGUAACUGUGCACAUCUUGACGGUACCUAAUCAGAAAACCACGGCUAACUACGU
rnacentral:rRNA from 1 species